AUCGAUUGCUGAAUCACUCUCUCUAUGUCACUCUUUCUAUGCAACAAGGACAUCGAAGAGAGCUCAGGUACCGAUCUAUUUAAUGUUAAUGAUGUAUGGUCCUACGCUACAACUUAUUGCACAGGUCACGGAAAGGAAAUUAGUUGUAAGAGAUGCAAACAGGUUCCAUUGUUUUGAAAGGGGAAUAUGUUCUUGUGGGGAUUACUGGUGACAAUGUUAAGAAUAGCAAAGAGGCCAGGCAGGUGUCGAUUGAGUAGCCAUUGAAUUUAGAUUAU